UACGGGGGGGCAAGCGUUGUUCGGAAUUACUGGGCGUAAAGGGCUCGUAGGCGGCCAACUAAGUCAUACGUGAAAUCCCUCGGCUUAACCGGGGAACUGCGUCUGAUACUGGAUGGCUUGAGAUUGGGAGAGGGAUGCGGAAUUCCAGGUGUAGCGGUGAAAUGCGUAGAUAUCUGGAGGAACACCGGUGGCGAAGGCGGCAUCCUGGACCGACACUGACGCUGAGGCGCGAAAGCUAGGGGAGCAAACGGG
rnacentral:rRNA from 1 species